GCGAAAUGCGAUAAGUAAUGUGAAUUGCAGAAUUCCGUGAAUCAUCGAAUCUUUGAACGCACAUUGCGCCCUCUGGUAUUCCGGGGGGGCAUGCCUGUCCGAGCGUCAUUGCGAACCCCUCAAGCACGGCUUGUGUGAUGGGCCCUCCCGCGUCUUGGUCGUCAAGACGGGCCCGAAAUGCAGUGGCGGCUUCGCGGUUAUCCGAUCAGCCAGAGCGUAUGGGGACUCUCUCUCUUGUCACACGCCCGCGGCGCGGACCGACGCCUGUCGACCUUUAUUCAUCUUCUCUCGGUUGACCUCGGAUCAGGUAGGGAUACCCGCUGAACUUAA
rnacentral:misc_RNA from 1 species